rnacentral:rRNA from 1 species
UUAAAAUUAAAUUACUAAAAAGUUUAGUAAUUAUUUAGUAUUAAAAAAAAUAAUUUUAUAAAAAUUAGUUAAGUAUUUUUUAAAAAGUUAAUAAUUUUAGUUAUAGUUUAAAAGUAUAGUAAUAGAAAUUUGAAAUAUGAGAAAUUAUUUAAAAAGUAAAUUUGAGUUAUUGUACCUUUUGUAUCAGGGUUGAUUAAAAAAUAAAUAAAAAUUUAUUUAUCUCGAAUUUAAGAGAUCUAAAGAUUUAUGAAAGUUAACGUAUUAAAGUUAUUUUAAAUAAAUUUUUAGUAAUGAAAAGUUAUUCGUUCUUAAAUAUAUCUAGUUUUUAAAGAAAUGAAUUUAAUUCAGAUAGUAUCAAAGAUUUUUUUGUUUAAAAAAUUUAAUUUUGUAUACUAUUAAAAUUUUAAGGGAUUAGCUUUAAAAUUAUAAUUAUAAAUUUAUUUUUAUCAAUAAAAAAUUGUAGAAUUAGAAAUUUUUUUCAAUAAUUAAAAUGUUAUAAUUAAUUUAAUAAAAAUAAAAAUUUAUUUAGAUUUUAAUUAGUUUAUUUAAAUAAAGUUAAAAAUGAUUAAUAAUUUGAAAUUAUGAUUAAAUUAGUAUUAAUAAAAUUUUAUAAAUAUAUUUAUAUAAAUUUAGAUAAAAAUAAGGAAUUCAGCAAAAUUAUACUCACCUGUUUAUCAAAAACAUGUCUUUUUGAAAAAAAAUUUAAAGUCUAACCUGCCCACUGAUUUAUUAAAGGGCCGCGGUAUAUUGACUGUGCAAAGGUAGCAUAAUCAUUUGUCUUUUAAUUGAAGGCUGGAAUGAAUGGUUGAAUGAAGUAUAAGCUGUCUCAUUUUUAAAAGUAUAAAAAUUUAGCUUUUAAGUCAAAAGGCUUAAAUAAAGUUAGAGGACGAGAAGACCCUAUAGAUCUUUAUAUUAAAGUAUUAUUAAUUAUUUUAGAUUUUUAAAAAAUUAGUUUUAUAAAAUAUUUGGUUGGGGUGACUAGAAAAUUUAAUUAACUAUUUUUAUUUUAUUCCAUUGAUGAAUGAGUUAUUGAUCCAAUAAUAUUGAUUAAAAAAUUAAGUUACCUUAGGGAUAACAGCGUAAUUUUUUUAGAGAGUUCUUAUCGAUAAAAUAGAUUGCGACCUCGAUGUUGAAUUAAAGAUUAUAUUUAGAUGCAGAAGUUUAAAUGUUAGGUCUGUUCGACCUUUAAAUCUUUACAUGAUUUGAGUUCAGACCGGCGUGAGCCAGGUCGGUUUCUAUCCUUAAUUUAAAGAAUAUAUUUUAGUACGAAAGGACCAAAUAUAUAAAAAAAAUUUUUUUAAAAAGAGAAUAAUAUUAAAUUAAAU